CAUUUUCUUGGAGAGCUAAUAGCUUUGGGGCUUGCUUUGAAAUCAAAUAUUUGCCCAAAGCGGUAGGCAAGCACAUGGCUGUUAGGUUUGCCAGACAGUUAGUCACGGUAACUUGCUCAGCCUGGUUACCUAGAGGGUGAGCCUGUAGCAGAAUGUGAAUGAUACAGGGUUCAGCCAAUCAAAGCCUCGCGCACAGUUACUGAGUGAGGAGGGGCUCAGGUGCCAACCAGAGGCGAUAACACACCAGGACCCUGGAGUCACUGGAAUGGAGUUUGGAGAAAUUCCAGAUAUGACAUCCAUCUAGAUUAAAAACAUGAAAAUGUGAAUUACGUGUUGGGAGAAUGGACACUCCUCAGGAAGGUUAAGGAUUUGAAAAUGUGCUCCCUUGAGCAGUAGAUCCAUCUGAGGCUUGUCUUUCUCAGUGAGCACGGAUCCCGAG
ensembl:lncRNA